GGCUUAGGACUUAGACUCAAGAAAGGAUGAGAAAAUAUGCAAAGGAGGAGUCACGUUCACCGCUCAGCGCCAUUUCCAGCGCUAAGCGCCAACCUCGUGAAGGAUGCCACUGUUUGACGCUUGAGCAGGGACAUUGAGGGAAGAAAAGAAGAAUCGCCCACCACUGAGUGCCAGGAUUGACCGUUGAGCGUCCUGCGAUACCGAAGUCCACCGCUGAGCGGUGAAAUGAGCGUUGAGCGCCUAACUUAUGGGUCUGGGCCAAAAUUCUGUUACUUUUCUGUAUUAUAAAUAGACCCAGAACGCACCAGAGAGGUAUCUUUUGGCAGAGAGAGACGUCAGAGCACCUUCUACACUCCUUGGAGGCGGC
rnacentral:lncRNA from 1 species